rnacentral:rRNA from 1 species
UACGGGGGGGGCAAGCGUUGUUCGGAAUUACUGGGCGUAAAGGGCUCGUAGGCGGCCAACUAAGUCGGAUGUGAAAUCCCCAGGCUUAACCUGGGAACUGCAUCCGAUACUGGAUGGCUUGAAUCCGGGAGAGGGAUGCGGAAUUCCAGGUGUAGCGGUGAAAUGCGUAGAUAUCGGAAGGAACACCUGUGGCGAAAGCGGCUCACUGGACCACAACUGACGCUGAGGCACGAAAGCUAGGGGAGCAAACAGG